rnacentral:snoRNA from 1 species
AACCCAUGGUGAGGACACCUUCUCAAUAAAUCAUUGUAUCUCUUUCAUGCAUCAUAUAAGGUCUCUAUAUCAAUCUGAACAAAGGAAGAGAUGUCGUUCCUCAACUU